AGGACGAACGCUGGCGGCGUGCUUAACACAUGCAAGUCGAGCGGAAAGGCCCUUCGGGGUACUCGAGCGGCGAACGGGUGAGUAACACGUGGGUAACCUGCCCCUUGCUCUGGGAUAACUCCGGGAAACCGGGGCUAAUACCGGAUAUGACACUCGCAGGCAUCUGCUGGGUGUGGAAAGUUUUUCGGCGAGGGAUGGGCCCGCGGCCUAUCAGCUUGUUGGUGGGUGAUGGCCUACCAAGGCAGUGACGGGUA
rnacentral:rRNA from 1 species